rnacentral:rRNA from 1 species
GUGCCAGCCGCCGCGGUAAUACCGGCAGCCCAAGUGAUGUCCCAUAUUAUUGGGCCUAAAGCGUCCGUAGCUGGCCGACCAAGUCUCCCGGGAAAUCCACCCGCCCAACGGGUGGGCGUCCGGUAGAAACUGGCAGGCUUGGAACCGGAAGGCUCAGAGAGUACGUCCGGGGUAGGAGUGAAAUCCUGUAAUCCUGGACGGACCGCCGGUGGCGAAAGCGCCUCGGGAAGACGGACCCGACAGUGAGGGACGAAAGCCAGGGUCUCCAACCGGAUUAGAUACCCCUGUAGUCC